UGUAGCUCAGUUGGUAGAGCACCAAAAAGGCCGGUGGGCAUGCCCAUAUCCGUGCCGGUUCCCGAUCUGAUCGUUCGUCGGUCCCGUGGGUGGUACGGGUCGAAUCCGGUCGGUUAUCUCACGGUGAAUACAGGUUCGAAUCCUGUCGGGCC
rnacentral:tRNA from 1 species